ACUUUUUUUUUUCGUGUACAAGUAUUCUUAUAAUAUAUAAUGUAUAGCCCCUGCACAAAAAGAAAAGAAAAAAAAAUCUGAUAAAACGCCGCUCCUU
rnacentral:ribozyme from 13 species